AACGAACGCUGGCGGCAUGCCUAACACAUGCAAGUCGAACGAGCCCUUCGGGGUUAGUGGCGCACGGGUGCGUAACGCGUGGGAAUCUGCCCUUGGGUUCGGAAUAUCAGUGAGAAAUUACUGCUAAUACCGGAUGAUGUCUUCGGACCAAAGAUUUAUCGCCCAAGGAUGAGCCCGCGUAGGAUUAGCUAGUUGGUGGGGUAAUGGCCUACCAAGGCGACGAUCCUUAGCUGGUCUGAGAGGAUGAUCAGCCACACUGGGACUGAGACACGGCCCAGACUCCUACGGGAGGCAGCAGUGGGGAAUAUUGGACAAUGGGCGAAAGCCUGAUCCAGCAAUGCCGCGUGAGUGAUGAAGGCCUUAGGGUUGUAAAGCUCUUUUACCCGGGAUGAUAAUGACAGUACCGGGAGAAUAAGCUCCGGCUAACUCCGUG
rnacentral:rRNA from 1 species